rnacentral:rRNA from 1 species
GACAGAGGUGCCGAGCGUUAGGCGGAAUCACUGGGCUUAAAGCGUGUGUAGGCGGGCGGGCAAGUACCUUGUGAAAUCCCACGGCUCAACCGUGGAACGGCUGGGUAUACUGCCUGUCUUGAGCCAACUAGGGGCGAGCGGAACAGACGGUGGAGCGGUGAAAUGCGUAGAUAUCGUCUGGAACGCCGAAGGUGAAAACAGCUCGCUGGGGUUGUGCCGACGCUGAGACACGAAAGCCAGGGGAGCGAACGGG